GUUUGAAUCUUCAGCGAAAUGGCGAAUCAGCGAAUAUUGAUCACUAAACUUCCCGCCGCAAUCACCUUCAAUCAAAACCAAAAUCUUGCACCUGUUUCCCUUCGUAGAUUCUCGUCUAACGAUUCUCAACAUGGCGGUGGUGAGUUCUUCCUUGGGGAUAAUCCCAAUAACAUUGAUAGUCUACAAGUUCAGGAUCGACAAGAACGAAUCCGGAAACUGAACUUUCUUAUACAUCAGAAACAUUUCGAACCUGCUAAAGAGAUUAUGCGUUCUCUUAUUCUCUCCAGGUCGCCAUUCUCUUCCCCAACUGACCUCUUCUCCCUCUUUACUCGUUCAUCGCCCGUGACGAAAGAUGCAUUUUCAGACUUACUGCUUACUGUCUGUGCCGAAUUGAAGCUACCGAAUGAAGCGACGGAGGUUUAUACACUUAUCAAAGGCGAAGGUAAGUGUUCUUAUUGGCCUUCCUUUAAGCUUUUUCUAGAGUCUCUAGUUUCUUUAGGGCAACACAGAAAGACCAUUGAUAUAAUCUGUGAAAUUGUGAAUUUGGGGUUUCAUGUUGACAAAUUUGCUUACAGUAAGGCAAUUCAAUCGGCUGUUAAACUAGGUGAGUUAGUGAAAGCAAUGGAUUUUCUAAAUGAUAUGAGACGACGUGGGAUGAAUCCAAAUGGUUUUAUAUAUAACAUCUUGAUUAGUGGUUUGUGUAAAGAGAAGAGAAUAGAAGAUGCACGUAAGAUGUUCGAUGAAAUGAUUGAUAGAAAAGUUGUUCCAAAUGCUGUUUCUUUUAAUACACUUAUAGAUGGAUAUUGUAAGAUUGGGGAUUUGGAAAAGGCUUUUGAUGUUCGUGAGAGAAUGAAGGUGGCUAAUGUUGAACCUACCAUUGUCACUUUCAAUACAUUGCUUGGUGGGUUAUGUAGGAAACAAAUGUUGGAUAAAGCGAGAAAUCUCUCAGUUGAGAUGAAAGCUCGAGGCUUUUCUCCUGAUGGAUUCACUCUUAGCAUUCUUUUCGACGAGCUUAUAAGGAACAAUGAUGUCGAAUCUCCGUUGGCUAUGUUUGAAGAGUUGCUCGAGAAGAAAGGUGUAAACGUAAAUGCCCAUGCUCUAACCGUUUUGGUGAACGGGUUGUGCAAGCACGCGAAAAUGGACAAGGCUGAGGAAAUAUUGAAAAAGUCGAUUGAACGUGGAUUCGUUCCCACUGAAAUUCUAUUCAACACGAUCAUCGACGGUUAUUGUCGAGCCAAUGAUGUCGAGAAAGCGCUAACAACCCUCGGUUCAAUCGUUCCCACUAGCAUCGCGUUCAAUUCGAUCAUUCGACACUUCUACGUCUCAGAUCGAAUGAACGAAGCCACGGAAUGGGUAAAGAAGAUGGUCGAGAAAGGUUUGUUCCCGAAUUUACAAACGUACAACACCCUCAUCGAUGGGUAUGGAAAAUCCCGCCAAUUCGACAAGUGUUUCGAGAUUCUUGAUACGAUGGAAAGUCAAGGAAUAACGCCGAAUGUCGUGACCUAUGGUUCAAUCGUAAAUAGUUUAUGCAAGGAAAUGAGACUCAUCGAUGCGGAGACAACGAUGAGGGAUAUGGUUAAGAAAGGGGUAAACGCCAACACUCGAAUAUACAACAUGCUCAUCCAUGGCUAUUGCACGAUCGGUAUGAUGGAGGAUGCGAAUCGGUUAUUUGAGGAGAUGGUGCAAAAAGGGUUGUCUCCGAAUGUCGUAACAUGUAAUGCUCUUAUUCACUCGCUCUGCAAGAAGGGAAGGAUGGAAGAGGCCGAAGCUAUGGCAUCCCGAGUUUUAGAACUCAACGUUAUUACUUACAAUAUUCUAAUAUCUGGAUAUUCAAUGGAGGGUAACAAACAAAAAUGUCUCGAGCUAUACGAUACAAUGAAGAAAUCCGACAUUAAACCGACGAUAAAAACAUUCCAUUCAUUAAUAAGGCUAUGCAGAAAGGAAGGCCCGGUUUUACUUGACACGAUGAUUCAAGAGAUGUUGAAGAUGGAUCUUGUUCUGGAUCGGAUUUUGUAUAAUGAACUCGUGCAUACGUUUGUAGAGCUCGGAGAUGUGGAAAGUGCGUAUUUAUGGCACGAUAAGAUGGUGGCUGAAGGAAUCGAGCAUGACAAAAUGACAUUCAAUAGCUUGAUUAAGGCUUGUUUUAUUGAGGGGAAAUUGGUUGGAGUUAGAGAUGUUCUUGAAGAUAUGAAAGGUGCUGGAUUGAUACUUAAAGCUGAUACAUACAGUAUAUUGAUAAAGGGACACUGUGAUCUGAUGGAUUUCAAUGGCGCAUAUUGUUGGUAUAGAGAAAUGCAGGAGAAAGGUUUUCUACUGAGUGUGAGUGUUUGUAAUGAGCUUAUAUGUGGACUUAAGGAAGAAGGGAAAAUCGAAGAAGUAGAGACUAUAUGCUCUCAAAUGAGUAUGAAAAUAAUAGAGAAAUGGGAUUCAAAUGAGGAUGAUCUUUCAACUACUGCCAAGAAUUAGGUCAGAUUAAUACAUGUUUGGAUGAUGGGUUUAUUAUGACUCAUACAAAUCCCAUUAUGUGUGUAAUGUCUGGUGAACCUUUCUUCGGUGGCAGCACCUUUAGUCUCCAGUUGUUUUGAUGCUUAUGAUGGCCCAAGCAACUGUGGACAAACUUUGAGCUUCUCAAAGACUAACAAGAAACCAAUUGUGGGUAAUGGAUCUAAAAUGAAAGAUCAAUGCAAAAGGAUCUAUGAUAACAUAAAAGAUGAUAAGAAGGUAAUACUUUAUUGUGGUAGCAAUCUAUAUACACGAACAUGUUGGAUCGUCGAG